CAAUGAUUCAAUAUUUACCUAUUACAUGGGUUUGAAAUUAUAGUUGUGCAUGGUAAUUAAUUCAUUAAUUAAUUAUCUACACAGUGGGAUUUCUAUUUUAUGAAAUUGGAAAGGCAUGUCAAAAUGAAAUGACUCCAAUGCAAUUCUCGAAUUGUUCAGGCAACAGUAAACUGCCAUGCUCACUACCAUUCAAUUAUGAGCAAACAUAAUCCAAUCUCAUCAUGUGAAGAACAUCAAAACAAACUAAUCAAAUGGAGCAUGCUUUCAUAUAAUUAGAAAGCGCAAAAAAUCUUUGGUGCAGUUCUAUUGUUAAACCCAUUCACUGAAAUAAAAGAAAGUACAUUCAUUCAUUAAACAGCUUUUAAAUAAAAAUGCUGGGGAUUGAACCUUUUCUUUUUCUAUAUAUAUGAGAUGGCAAAGACAAUCAAUUGCUACAAAUUUAAUUAAUGUGAAUUGAUAGAUAUAUACAUUUCUGACGGCAAAUAAAUGCAUGUUAAUAUCCUAAGACGAGAAGGAGAAAAUAAUAUAUAGAUAUGAUACUUGUUCUGUAACCCUAAACCUAAGCAGUAGAAGCUAAGAAUUAAGGAUUCCAUCGAUACAUAUAUUCAUGGAAAAGUUAAUAAUCAGUCCAUGGGGAACACAUUAGCAGAGCAGACCCUUUGGCUGUUUGGCACCCAAUAAACUUUUCUUUUUUUCUCUUUGGUCUCUUCAAUCUUCAUAAUCCCACAUGUCAAAUCCCCUAAAGGAGUACUUCGAUUUUAAUUUUUCAACCUUACUUUAAAAGCAACUAGCGUACGUAUGAUUUCACAGAGGACACGUAGAUCAUUGUCGUCAUAUCAUGUCUGCAUAAAAAAAUAUUUCUUCUGUUUCAUCACUUUAGCUCAUUAUUUUUUAUAGACGACCAAUUAUUUUACCUUUACAGAAACUCAUAAUACAACAUGAUCAGGCAGCUAGCCAUGGAUCUACUACUGUAUUUCCUCGACACAAAUGACAACCUCCAUGAUAAGACCUGACCCACCAGAAAUUAUGAGCUUCACAUUUAAAAUCUGAUCUGAUCCUACGUAUAUAAAUUUGCUAGUUUUUUUUUUAUUUUAUUUUUAUUAUUCAUUAAUUGACCCGCAAGAGUUUAAGACAUCUGACCCAUUUGGUAGCUAGUUUGUCAUGGCCAUGGACAAAUAGAUGGGCUAUGAUGAGUUUUGAAAGAGAUCAAGAAAAAGAGGCAAAACUCAAAUCCUUGAUAUAUCCCUCUAAUCUUAAUUUCCUUAUCCAUUCCCAUAUAUAUAUGUAUAUAUUUUCUUUGUUUAAACCAAAAAGGAUAAGGAAGACCUAAUUUUACAGUCACAUGUGUUCACAAUUAUUUGUGUCAUGAAACUAAAGACAUGGACAACAAAGGGAUUGAAACGAACAAGAAAUCAUACUUACCGACCUGCUGGCUGCCUGGUGGCUGAAAUUUCAUAAUAGCUUUUUCCUUGGUUCCUUUCCCUGAUAAUUAUUUGCAUCAGAUCAAAGCCGAUCGACUAAAGAUAUAUAUAUCCUCCUGCCAUCAGCAAUAAUAUAUAUGAUUAAGCUUUAGAAAAUGGAAAUAACAAGGGAGAACUAAACUUUCUUGCACCUCUUAAUAUCUACUGCAUCAGACUAAAAAAUGAUGAAGAUGAUGAAUUAGCAAAGCUAUUACAUGCUUUAAUUAGUCUAGAUGAAAAUCAAAUCAAACCCUGUUGGGGGGAAUGAAGCCUGGUCCG
rnacentral:misc_RNA from 1 species